GAUGAUGUAUUUCAUGAACGAACGAAGUACAUUGAGAACGAUUGUCACUUUGUUCGUCAUCAUCUCUAGAGCAACACUCUCCAUCUCCAAUCCAUCUCCACCAAUGACCAACCUGCCGAUAUCUUCACCAAAGCUUUCCCUUCUCCACGUUUCACUCUGUUACUUCACAAACUCAAGGUGGCUUCUACUCUACCAACUUGAGUUUGAGGGAAGGCAUUGUCGAAAUUAGAGUAAUUUGACUAAAAUCUUGGCAUAUAUUAGUGUAUUUAUUAUUUUGGGUAUAUGUACACUUUGUAUUAUUGGAAUUAUACAAGUUAUUCAAAUAUAUUAAGAGUCCUUGUUCUUGUUUGUCUGUUACAAACUUAGAAGUAACUCACCGUUGCAUCCUACCAUUUUGAGUAUCUGGAAUGCUUUGGAGUCAUUCGUAAUCCACUGUGCCUGAAUACUUAGAUAUAGAAAUUAAAGUUUUCUAUUCUCUUAUUUUUCACUUUUCAGAUCACCAUUCCUCAGUCGACUGAAACAAGCAGGAAGCUGAUAUUAGAUGAUGGAAAUGGAGAGUGCGUGCUCUACACAAGCUCUCUUGUUUCUGGACAAGACACUUUUUCUGCGUCUCCCCUCAUUAGACCAGCUAGCAACACCAGUAACAGGUGCGUAUUUCUUAAUUCUUGCAGUCCUAAUCUUGCGGGAUUCUUGGGCUUGCUGCAAGUUUAUUAGGAGGCAAGCAGGUGGUAUCCCAUACCAAGAGCUUGAAAUGGCAGUGCCAGAAUCUUCCUCAGCUUGGAACUGCUGAAGGUUGGGAUGAUGAUUGGGAUGAAUAAAAAUUCUGUGAAUUCACCAGGGAGGCCUCAUAUUGGAAACAUUUCAGCUAAUGAGCUUACUGCUAGGUCCAACAAAGAUGGGUGGGAGAAUGAUUGGGAUGUUUAGUUAAUGAAACAGCGUGAAAAGAAAACAAACUUCUGGUCUAUCGACAAACUGGAAGGCAGGAAGAACAACAAUGCGAAUCACAUGACGUUGCCCUGAAGUUAUUCCCUAGUCGAAUGUAACUGUAAACCUUCUUCCUAUAUCUGAUUAGGUUAUAGAGUUUGUACUUGUAGCCGUCGCAUAUUGGGUCAGAAGCCAAAGCUGUUUCAUACCAAGUUUAGGGUUUGUUUUGGUGCGAUGUAGAAUGCAUGGCUUUUAAUGUCCUUUUUGAAUUUUUACUUUUUUAGAUAACAGUUCCAAUUUUUUAUUUAUGAUAGCUUUACAUUAUAUAAAUGUUCAUGCGAGCUUUAAAAUUAUGAUUGGGUUUGCCAUUGCAAAACAUUGGUAAGAGAACCAUAAAUGAUACAAUACACAUGCUCAUGUGCGAGCAUCCGUAUCUUUUUGGGAAUGGGGAACAGGUUCUCUCUCUAUAACCUGUAAUAAUUUUGAAUACACUCUUCUGAAUUACGUUUUUUGUAUUGAUUACUGGUAAGCACUACCUCUAAUGUAUUGUCACGCCUGAAUUUUAUUUUUACCUCCGCGUGCUUCUUUUUCCUUUUAUACAUGUCGGGAGUAAUUGUGAAACUGCUUUGUUGUCUCUUACUGAAGCAAAAGCGCAGAGAAGGCCGAUUUAAUAAUUCUGUUUCCUACGUUAUUCUGUCUUUUAAAGUUUUGAUUUUUUGUUUUUGUUUGUUAAUUUUUGUUUUCUAAAUAAACAAUGGGUUUUACUUGAACUGCUUACAGGACGCUUUCCUAUAUACAUAUACUUUUGGAUGAUUCCUUUUAUGUUACUGCUUCUGCUCUUGGCAAUUAUGCAUUUGGAUUGAGUAUUACGAUACAUAAUAACUUCUAACAUGAUUUUGAACAGUUAGUUUCUUUAACUUAAAUCUUUGAUUGCCCCUGCAUUAAGGAAUCAAGAUAAAGAUAAAGGAAGAGGAAUAACGAUGGGUCCCAUCAUGAAAUGACAUCAUAUGGAGAAGAAAAAAGGUGUUGCUAUUUUAAAGGGUUGCAAGUGCUAAGGAGGACCCGCCUGUAAAUGAGGGUAUUGAUUAUAUUGAAGGCAUUUUGAAUGGGGUUCACAGUUCACUAGGCGGGGGCUUACAUUCAUUGUGAGAUGUGGGAAGCUGCACUAGGAAGCUUUUCCUUGAAAUAGUGAGAAUGAGUUGGGCAUAUCAUUACCAUCGCAUAAUAGGAGUGGCUAAAGAUAGCAACCCAUGCCCAUCUCAAUCACAAGUAUUUGGAAAUGGUGCAACUGCAGAAUACUAGAUAGAUUCUCCAUUGGGCACCUAUCUGCAUGCUGCAUCAGUGACGUACCUUCCAAAUCCUAUGGACAAAGAAUAUGGCAUAGGAAAUAAAAAUGUAACCAAGCAAAAGAUAGUUUGUCGACCAUGUUUGAAGGGAUAUACUAUAUGAAAUACUAUGUAACUCUUCAUGGUGAAAUGAAUAUGGUGUGGUGGAACUUUAAGAAAAUGAAUAAAAGAACUACAAGAAAAAUUACAGUAAAA